rnacentral:rRNA from 1 species
AUGGACAUGGGGAGGGGGAUGGGGAUGGGGAUGGGGAGGGGGAUGGACAGGGAGGAGGGGCUCAACCUCAGCUUGUCACUGCAGCGGUCGCCUUCGUCGCCGCCGAGGUUCCAGGCGGUGUUCGCCUGCUGCUACUGCCCCAGGAAGUUCAGGAGCUCUCAGGCUCUCGGCGGCCACCAGAACGCGCACAAAGUCCAGCGCAACCUGGCCAGGCGAGGCCGGGACGCCACCACCGCGCUGUCGUUGGCGGCAGCAGGAGAGCAAGGUAAGGCCGCCGUCGAUGACGACAGCGCUCCGCUGCGCCUAGCGGACCCUGACGCCGCCGACGCGUGGGGAGGAGGGAGGGUCUACCCUCCUCAUCGCCAGCAGGGCUCGGGAGCAGCCUCGUCCGGUGCGGCAAGAGGCAACGAAGAGCUUGCGGAUGAGAUGAUUGACCUGUCCCUGAAGCUAUGA